rnacentral:rRNA from 1 species
UACAGGGGGGGCAAGCGUUGUUCGGAAUUACUGGGCGUAAAGGGCUCGUAGGCGGCCAACUAAGUCCGACGUGAAAUCCCAAAGCUUAACUUUGGAACUGCGUCGGAUACUGGAUGGCUUGAAUUCGGGAGAGGGAUGCAGAAUUCCAGGUGUAGCGGUGAAAUGCGUAGAUAUCUGGAGGAAUACCGGUGGCGAAGGCGGCAUCCUGGACCGACAUUGACGCUGAGACGCGAAAGCCAGGGGAGCGAACGGG